rnacentral:rRNA from 1 species
UACGUAGGGGGCAAGCGUUUGUCCGGAAUCAUUGGGCGUAAAGAGCGUGUAGGCGGCCAGAAAAGUCCGCUGUGAAAACUCGAGGCUCAACUUCGAGCUGUCGGUGGAAACUUUCUGGCUAGAGUCCGGAAGAGGAGAAUGGGAAUUCCUGGUGUAGCGGUGAAAUGCGCAGAUAUCAGGAAGAACACCCGUGGCGAAGGCGGUUCUCUGGGACGGUACUGACGCUGAGACGCGAAAGCGUGGGGAGCGAACAGG